rnacentral:rRNA from 1 species
AGGAAGGUAGUGUAGUUAACACCUGCAUUAUUGUACGUUACCUACAGAAGAAGCACCGGCUAACUCCGUGCCAGCAGCCGCGGUAAUACGGGAGGGUGCGAGCGUUAAUCGGAAUUACGUGGGACGUAAAGCGCAUGCAGGCGGCCUGUUAAGUCAGAUGUAGAAACGGCCCGGGGACCUUUAACCGUACGGUAAUUGCUAUUUAGAAACGUGGCGAGGCUAGAGUCUUGUAGAGGGGGGUAGGAAUUUCAGGUGUAGCGGUGAAAUGCGUAGAGAUCUGAAGGAAUACCAGUGGCGAAGGCGGCCCCCUGGACAAAGACUGACGCUCAGAUGCGAAAGCGUGGGGAGCAAACAGGAUUAGAUACCCUGGUAG